UACGUAGGGUGCAAGCGUUGUCCGGAAUUAUUGGGCGUAAAGAGCUCGUAGGCGGUCUGUCGCGUCUGCUGUGAAAACUCAGGGCUUAACCCUGAGCUUGCAGUGGGUACGGGCAGACUAGAGUGCGGUAGGGGUGACUGGAAUUCCUGGUGUAGCGGUGGAAUGCGCAGAUAUCAGGAGGAACACCGAUGGCGAAGGCAGAUCUCUGGGCCGUAACUGACGCUGAGGAGCGAAAGCAUGGGGAGCGAACAGG
rnacentral:rRNA from 1 species